GCGCCGGUGAUGUAAGGCGUAGCACCAGCCCGGAAAGCAGAACGUGCGGGUUCGAGUCCCGCCUGGUGCA
rnacentral:tRNA from 1 species